AUUGAACGCUGGCGGCAGGCCUAACACAUGCAAGUCGAGCGAGUGGCGGACGGGUGAGUAAUGUCGGGGAAACUGCCUGAUGGAGGGGGCUAACUACUGGAAACGGUAGCUUAUACCGCAUACCAUCAGCUUUGCCCAGAGGGGAUUAGCUAGUUGGUGGGGUAAGGGCUCACCAAGGCGACGAUCCCUAGCUGGUCUGAGAGGAUGACCAGCCACGCUGGAAGUGAGAAACAGUCCAGACUCCUACGGGUGGCAGCAGUGGGGAAUAUUGCACAAUGGGCGGAAGCCUGAUGCAGCCAUGCCGGGUGUAUGAAGAAGGCCUUCGGGUUGUAAAGUACUUGUAGCGGUGAGGCGUGACCCGCAGAAGAAGCACCGGCUAACUCCGGGCCAGCAGCCGCGGUAAUAC
rnacentral:rRNA from 1 species